UACGUAGGGGGCAAGCGUUGUCCGGAUUUAUUGGGCGUAAAGAGCGUGUAGGCGGUUUGGUAGGUCCGCUGUGAAAACUCGAGCUCAACCUCGAGACGCCGGUGGAAACCAUCAGACUAGAGUCCGGAAGAGGAGAGUGGAAUUCCUGGUGUAGCGGUGAAAUGCGCAGAUAUCAGGAGGAACACCGAUGGCGAAGGCAGGUCUCUGGGCAUUAACUGACGCUGAGGAGCGAAAGCAUGGGGAGCGAACAGG
rnacentral:rRNA from 1 species